GAUUAGCCAUGCUAGUUGUGCGGGUUUAGACCCGCAGCGGAAGCUCAGUAACACGUGGCCAAGCUACCCUGUGGACGGGAAUACUCUCGGGAAACUGAGGCUAAUCCCCGAUAACGCUUUGCUCCUGGAAGGGGCAAAGCCGGAAACGCUCCGGCGCCACAGGAUGCGGCUGCGGUCGAUUAGGUAGACGGUGGGGUAACGGCCCACCGUGCCCAUAAUCGGUACGGGUUGUGAGAGCAAGAGCCCGGAGACGGAAUCUGAGACAAGAUUCCGGGCCCUACGGGGCGCAGCAGGCGCGAAACCUUUACACUGUACGAAAGUGCGAUAAGGGGACUCCGAGUGUGAAGGCAUAGAGCCUUCACUUUUGUACACCGUAAGGUGGUGCACGAAUAAGGACUGGGCAAGACCGGUGCCAGCCGCCGCGGUAAUACCGGCAGUCCGAGUGAUGGCCGAUCUUAUUGGGCCUAAAGCGUCCGUAGCUGGCUGAACAAGUCCGUUGGGAAAUCUGUCCGCUUAACGGGCAGGCGUCCAGCGGAAACUGUUCAGCUUGGGACCGGAAGACCUGAGGGGUACGUCUGGGGUAGGAGUGAAAUCCUGUAAUCCUGGACGGACCGCC
rnacentral:rRNA from 1 species